CUGGCGUGACACUUCAUCCUUUUUGCUUUUCAUGGGGUGAAGCAGCACUAUUGGCUGCUAACUUGCACGGCCCAAUGUCCCAGGAAAUGGACUCAAAGUAGCCGUGCGGUUAAGGCCUACGCUCCCCAUAUCUUGUAUCUGGUUGUACUUCCCCUGGCCUGAUAAAAGCUUUUACUUUUUGGCGGGCUACAACUUUUUCUUUAUUUUUUUCUGCUUCUUCUGCAUCGUUCUCUACUCCUUCCUCAUCCUUUAGGACGCCAU
rnacentral:lncRNA from 1 species